rnacentral:ncRNA from 1 species
GUAAAUUCUGUGAUAGGAAGAGUACGCUCUUUGACCAUUUUCAGAGAGUCGCCGGCAGCUGCGAGGCGACAGAUGGAGAAGAGGGGAAGAUCAUCCUUUGAGAAGCGUCGUUGAAAUCAGUAGACGUCGUCGGUGCCGUGGCCGUUACUCACGUAGAUCAAAGUGCCGCAUCCGUGCGGAAUUUGGGUGGUACCGCGGAAACGACUCCGUCCCUUUU